rnacentral:tRNA from 1 species
AUUUUAUUAGCUUUAGAAAAGUGUAGAAUUGUAAAUUCUAAGAUGAUAAUAUCAUGAACU